rnacentral:rRNA from 1 species
UUAGCAGUGAGGAAUAUUGGUCAAUGGCCUAACGGCUGAACCAGCAAUUUGGAAGAAUGGAUAGCGAUAGCUAAUUGCACCAACAUACUGUUGAUGCAAAAUUGAUUAUAUCAAAUAAAAUUCUGGGUCGAUUUAUGAUAAUGACAUAAUUUACCCAAGUCUUGACCAAAUUACGUGCCAGCAGUCGCGGUAAUACGUAAAAGACUAGUGUUAUUCAUCUUUAAUGGGUUUAAAGGGUACCUAGACGGCAAAUAAAGCCCUUGUGGUACUAAUUUGCUAGAGUUACAUCUGAGGGGGUAUUAAAGUACUGUAGGUGUAGAGAUGAAAUUCUGUUAUACCUUUUUUCGAAAGAAAACUAUGGCACAGGUAUAGGUGAAAACAUCCCCUUGUGUGAUAACUGACGUUGAGGGACGAAGGCUUUGUGUCGCGAACAGGAUUAGAUACCCUAGUAGUCAAAGCAGAAAAUGAUGAAUGUCAUAGAUUAGAUAAAUAAUUUAUUCUAUAAAUGAAAGUGUAAGCAUUCCACCUCAAGAGUAAUUUGGCAACAUUGGAACUGAAAUCAUUAGACCGUUUCUGAAACCAGUAGUGAAGUAUGUCGUUUAAUUUGAUGCCACGCAAAAAACCUUACCACAAUUUGAAUAUUUAUAUAAAUUUUUUACUGAUUUUAUAGGUUAUUUAAAUGCCUGUUUAAAUUAGAGCUUUACUUUAUUCUCUUUUUUUGCACCUAUACUCGGUUUAUUUGUUUUAUUUGCUUAACUUUUUUAGCACUCGCUUUUAAUAUAUAAUUUUUAACUUGUAACUUCAUAAUAGUAAAUAAGUAAAAAAAUUAAGAAAUAAGGAAAUUAAUGCGUUUAAAGUAAAACAUAAAAUAAAGCAAAAAAAUCACAAAAAUAGGUAAAUAUUAACAACAAAUAAUGCGAAAAAAAAUAAACAUAACACAAAAAAGGUGAUAUAUUUACAAGUGUUGCACGGCUGUCUUCAGUUAAUGUCGUGAGAUUUUGGUUAGUUCCAUUAAAUUAACGUAAACCCUUGCUUUAUUUUUAUAUAAAGUAGUUCCCCG